AAAGACAGACCAAUUCUUUCCCACGAUUGAAAAGCAGUUUUCUCACUUGCUCCAUUUUCUCCACUACUAGGAACAUGAUCAGAAGCACUUCAAAGCAGAUUUUUCUCUAUAAAUAGACCUGAAGAACUCAGUUGAUGACACCAAGCUUUAUACAAAGAAAUUUAGUGAUUUAGAAACUGAUUAUUUUUUUCACGUUAUUGUAAUCAAGGUUUUCAGUUUCCUUUUUUAUUCAAAGCUUGUGAUUAUCGCAUAACAUUAACUUUCAGAACCUGUGUUCUAUUUUCGUUCAGCAAUCCAAUUUCUUAUUACUUUCCUAUUCAAUUCCAAUUGUUAUUACUUAUUAUAUUAUAUCGCUGCACAUUAUUACUCAACCCGAUUUUAUUUUGCAGCACUUACCAAUCCAAAUUCCCUUUAUUUUCAAAGUUGCUGCUACGUCCCUUUUCUUUCUUUUAUUUAAUUAAAUUGAAUUGUUGUUGUUGGCUGUUCCAUUGUUGCGGGACUGAGCAUAUAACAAUUGUUAUUGUUGAGUACGUGUGCCAUAUAAUCCAUAUAUUUUCAUUGUUUGCGCUACUGUUUGGUGUUUGGUGUUCGAUUCCAAUUGCAGUUAUGUUUCUUGGAGUAUUAUGCCCAUUGUCGUGACUUGGUUGUUUUAAAGCAUAUUGGUAGAGUUUUCUUCAUAGCAGUGGAAAUUGUACUCAAUUAAAGACUCCAACUAUAACAGGUUUCGUUUCUUUUCCUUUUACCUUUAAUAUGAGUUCAUUAGAGUUAAAUUUAGAUUAUAAUUUAGCUAUGUUUGAGUAGUUUUUUUAUAGAGUCCGGAAUGUGAUGAACGUCGUACCAAUGGUACUCUGUUAAAUUGUAUGAUUUUAAAUUGUAACAGGAAUUGGUUUUAAGUUUGAAAAUUCUGAUUUUAAAAGAUGAAUAUUUACGGCGAAAGCUGGAAUAAAGUGAUAUCGAUUUCAUAUCGAAAGAGUGAAACCUAUAUCUGACUGUAGAAUUUUUAGGAAUUGAUUUUGAAAUACAGCGAAAGCGUUUUCUUUAAUUAAUUUAGAAAUUUCUAAUUUUCAAAAAGGCUAUUUUAAACUUGUAGGCGUUGUAACGCCCACUUUCGUUUAAUUAUUUAUUUAAUCGAGUUUAGGCAAUUGUAUUAUAUUUAUAUAAUAUAUGUGUGAGUUUUGUUGAUUUAAGAUGAUUUGAUGUGUUUUGAUGAUUUGAUAAGAUUAUGAGACUUAUUUUAUUGUUAAAUAAAAUAAGAUUUGAUAAGAAAAUAAAAAUAUUUAGUUGAGGGCUGUUUUGAGAUUUUAGAGAGUUUUGGGGGAGAAAGAGAGAUAAGAUAAGUUAUUAGGAAGAGGCAUAAAAGAGAUAGACCUAGUUUUAGAAAACUUAGUACGUACGACUGUUUUUGGAGAAAAAGGGAGAAAAAGCCAAGAGCAAGAGAGACCAAGAGAGGGCUACGAUUUCUUCAAUACAAGGUAAGGGUGAGACUAAUAAUUCAGUUAUGUUAAUUGUUAUAAUUCUGAUGAUUAAUUGACAAAGUUAGGAUUGAUUUAGAAAAGUUUUGAAAUUAGGUUAAAUCCCUAAAAUUGAUGAUCAAACGGUAAAACUUGAUUAGAUUGAUGUAGAAACCGUCCUAUAACCUUAGAAUAUAUUUAUGAUGAAUUAUGUAAUUGAGAUUAGGCUUAGAACCAUGUGAGAUCAUGAAAUUUGUGUAGAAACUACAUUCCGUCCGAGCCAAAGUUCAUCGCUCGCCGUAGCGAGCUAUGAUCCUCGCCUCGCGAGGGAUGAAUGUUCAUUGCUCGCCACGCGAGCCAUAACCCUUCGCCUCGCGAGUUACUUGUUUUGUAGCUCGCCACGGCGAGCAACCCUACUCGCCAUAGCGAGCUUGACAAGAGAGCAUGUCAUUUUCUGAGUUUUUGACUUUUGAGUUGAACCUUAGAUGCCUUUGAGUACCUUUAGGUGCCUACUAUUGAUUAGGGAAUGAUUUAGAACGAGAUUGAACCUGGAACAACCUUAGUUAGGAAUCUGGCUUGUACUCGCUAUGGCGAGCUGAUGCUCUCACCUCGCGAGCACUUCCAGAAUUGAUUGUAUUUGAGGAUUGCGAGCCCUGAGUUGUUUGGAUUGGUUAGGAAAGGAACUUUAGGUGCUAAUGAGACCUAUUAAAGAUAAUGACUGAGAACUGUGAAGCUUUUAUGAUAUGUUAAGUGAAAAUAAAGUGAAUUAUGGAUUGAUUGUAUUUACUUGAAUUAUUAUUGAAUGAUCAAGGAAUUGUUGAAAAUGAAUUGUUAUUAAGCUUGAUGUGAUUUGAUUAUGCUGCAAUUGUUAUUUAACUAAGUUGCAUGAGUCUGAAUUAAGUUGAUGACUGAUGACAGUCAGUCAUUCACUGUUUUUAGUGUCAUUUUCAUGAUAUUUUGAGUUCACAUGCAAGCUUAAACAACAAAGAAAACAAGAAAAAUAGAAGAUUUUUGAAGAAAGCAAAAACGUGUCACAAUGGCUAUUUCAUGACACGAUUUCAAGAACAUAGCACAAGGGAAGAAAUUAAGGCAAGAGAAAACAUGACUGAUAUAAAAGAGCCACAUGAAGAAGGAGGUGUAAUUAUUAGAUGGUGUGAAUAUAAAGGGAAGUAAAUAGGCAUUGGGCCUAUGUCACGUAAAAUCUAGCUGACCUAAAAUCAACAAUGAGGGGAGUUUCUAUAAAAGGAGAAAGAAACAUGGAUGUGAAGGGCUUUUGUACAGGAUUACGAUUUUGCCAAAAAGCCAGCCGCACAAUCUUGGGAAACUAGGAGGUUGUAUCACUUUUGGCACUUUUUGGAGAAAAGCCACGCGUUUCUAGAUCACGUACACACCUUAGAAAACAGUAGCAUCACAUAUUGAAGAAAUUCCUAUGAGCGUAACAUCUCUCCGUAACUUCUUUUAACUUUGUUGCUUCUUAGUUCUUUUAUUAUGUGUGGUUAGUCUCCUGAGGAUUAGAUCUAAGAUGAUUCUGUGUAACCCUAAUUGAAACAUGUUGCUGUGAAACUCUAUUUAUUGUGAAUGACAAUCUAGUUUUUUAUUCAAUUCAAUUGUUCAUAAUGCUUGUUAUAUCUUGAUCAAAUAUAACAUGAUUUAGUGAGAACGAAUGACUACUGACCAUAACUUUCGACUGAGACCUAAUUGAAUUGUUCUAUGGUUAGUCUAGGAAUGGAUAAUCGUUUGUUAGUGAUAUUAGGUUAACGUGCAUAAAACCUUCAAAGAUUAUUAGAUCACCUAAGGAAUUAGGGGCUGUAGUUUGAGAAGAGGGUCCUAACUCAAGGGAUUGAUUAGAACUAUUUUGUUAACUAUCGUGGAACUAGAGAAUUGAUGAUAACAAGGUAUUAAAAAUUGUCAAUUGGUUAUUACUAAUUAUUGUUCAAGUUUACAGGACCAAAGGCUAGUCAAGAAAUUUCAAUAGGUCUUGGAAGAACAAUGAAAAGCAAACGAAUUCCAAGCAUCUGAAGAAAACUACUCCUGAAGCUGAAGUGCUUCUGAAGUGAUGACGUCAUCAGAAGCAGAAGGUCAUCAGAAGCAAAGGUUUUCAUCAGAAGCAAUAUCUUCACCAGAAGCUACGUUUGAUCCUUUAAUCAAACUGAAGAUUCAAAGUAGCUGAUUCUCAAUUCAGUCUUAUC
rnacentral:lncRNA from 1 species